GCGAGAGUGGCGGAACUGGCAGACGCACUGGACUCAAAAUCCAGCGGUGCUCAAACACCAUGAGGGUUCGACUCCCUCCUCUCGCA
rnacentral:tRNA from 1 species